rnacentral:rRNA from 1 species
UACGGAGGGUGCGAGCGUUGUCCGGAAUCACUGGGCGUAAAGGGCGCGUAGGCGGCCUGAUAAGUAGGGGGUGAAAUCCUGCGGCUUAACCGCAGGGCUGCCUUCUAAACUGUCAGGCUAGAGCACGGUAGAGGCAGAUGGAAUUCCCGGUGUAGCGGUGGAAUGCGUAGAGAUCGGGAAGAACAUCAGUGGCGAAGGCGGUCUGCUGGGCCGUUGCUGACGCUGAGGCGCGACAGCGGUGGGGGAGCAAACAGGAUUAACGAA